GUGCUUGUUUUGGCAGCACAUAUACUAAAAAAAAAUUGGAACAAUACAGAGAAGAUUAGUAUGGCCCCUGCACAAAGAUGACAUGCAAGUUCGUAAAGUGUUCCAUUAAAAA
ensembl:snRNA U6 U6 spliceosomal RNA